rnacentral:misc_RNA from 1 species
AAGUCGUAACAAGGUCUCCGUUGGUGAACCAGCGGAGGGAUCAUUACCGAGUUUACAACUCCCAACCCUCUGUGAACGUACCUACAAGUUGCUUCGGCGGAAGGCCCUUUAGGGGGCGGCCCGCCGAAGGCCUACAAACACCUGUAUUUUUGGCAUCUCUGAGUUACCUAUAAAAUAAGUUAAAACUUUCAACAACGGAUCUCUUGGUUCUG